CUCUCUCUCUCUCUCUCUCUCAUCAUUUUUUGAGGGCUUGGUUUAAAAGAGGGAACAUGCAUGGGAAGGAUAUGUAAUAAAGUUUCCAUAUUGGAUUUAAGAAUUCCUUCCAGCGCCUAUGACAUGCAUGUAUGCACUUAUGUUGUAACCUCUUCAUAAUUGAAGGUUUUGUAAUGUCAUUUUAAUUAGAUUUUAGUGACGGUUGGGAUUGCAAUGUAUCAUAAUUUAGUUUGCCUGAUUGUCUGGCCUUGAAGCACAGAAUAUCGUUUUUGAAAUGUUAGGCUGCAAACUAAUAUAUGCAUUAAGUAUGUGUGGAGAAGCCAUUUAGAAUGGUAUAAAGGCUUAGAUUUUUCUUUGAAUGCCUAGACCAUGUAUCAAUGUAGCUUUCUUUGUCCAUUGUUCUUGUUUGUAUACUUAAUAUAUUUUUGAAUUAUAGGCCACAUGCUACGUAUGGUAAAUGUAAUGAUCCAGUCUUAGUUUAUAACCAUUUGAUUAUUGUGUGGGUGAUUUAGAUUCAUAAAAUUUCAAGAAAGGCCAAAGUCAAAUUGAAGUAUUUUUAGAUUUGAAUAGUUCUUUUAUUUCUAUGACAAAUAGAGCUUUAUAAUCCGAAUUGUGUUUACCUAUAAGAAUUAAAUUAUCAUCGAGUUGAUAUAUUCUGUUAUCAUCUAGAAUAUAUUGGUCAAAAAAGUGUUUUGGCAAUUCAAUUCGUAUCUGUAAAUGGGAUCUUCAAUCAUCAUUGGAUGUUUAGUUCCAGGGCCUGUUUGCAUUAGUGCAAGUCAUAAAGUUCUAUGUCUUUGUACGAAUCUUUCUUGUAAGCUUUUGGUGAUAUGGACAACUUAAAAGAACUCAUGUGAAAGUGCUCCAAGUUUUCUAUGAUUAGAUCCUUUCCAAGUUCUGUCCAAAGAGGCAAACUCCUCCAUUCCUACCACACAACUACUUUAAAUUUGUCCUCUGCUGCAUCUGUGGGGAUUGAUCUAUAGGUAGUCAAUUUUCUGUGGAAAAUUUUGCCCUCGUAACAUUUGGGGCUAUAAACUAACAUUAUUUCAAAUUAAUGGCGCAUCUUACUUUCCUUUAACCCACUCCCUCUCUUCUUCCUUACAGAGCACAAUGCAGGGAAAAUUGAAUGUUUAAAAAAAUAGUCUGACAUGAUUAUUCUUUCUUAUUCUUCUUUUUUGUAUGUGUUAAUUUGGAUGUUGUGGAUAGUGGGGAGAGUGACGGCCUUGCAGGGAUAUUGAAAGAGACAAGUGCAUGCUAAACUUGUCUGAAAUGUGAAAUGAUAAAUCAAUUAUUUUUGUUGGUUUGCAGGGAAGAAAGUGAGUAAGGCUCCAAAGAUACAGAGGCUUGUAACUCCAUUGACCCUUCAGAGGAAGCGUGCGAGGAUUGGUGAGAAAAAGAAGAGAAUUGCUAAGGCCAAGGCUGAGGCAGCCGAGUA
rnacentral:misc_RNA from 1 species